UGGGGAAUAUUGCGCAAUGGGCGAAAGCCUGACGCAGCAACGCCGCGUGAGUGAUGAAGGUCUUCGGAUUGUAAAGCUCUGUCAGCAGGGAAGAAGCGGUUGCUAGAAUAAUACUCUAGUAGCUUGACGGUACCUGCGGAGGAAGCACCGGCUAACUCUGUGCCAGCAGCCGCGGUAAGACAGAGGGUGCAAGCGUUGUUCGGAUUUAUUGGGCGUAAAGGGUGCGUAGGUGGCGAUAUGUGUCGCAUGUGAAAGCCCUGGGCUUAACCCAGGAAGUGCAUGCGAAACUGUAUUGCUGGAGUACCGGAGAGGGCAGUGGAAUUCCCAGAGUAGAGGUGAAAUUCGUAGAUUUUGGGAGGAACACCGGGAGCGAAGGCGACUGCCUGGACGGUAACUGACACUUAAGGCACGAAAGCGUGGGGAGCAAACA
rnacentral:rRNA from 1 species